GCGUUAAACUCAAUCAGGCUAGUCUGUCAGUAGCGUGUCCAUCCGCAGCUGGCCGGCGAAUGUAAAGAUUGGACUAAGCAUGUAGUGCCGACGGUGUAGUAAUUUCGGACGGGGGUUCAAAUCCCCCCAGCUCCACCA
rnacentral:tmRNA from 1 species